CCUACGGGAGGCAGCAGUGAGGAAUAUUGGUCAAUGGGCGGGAGCCUGAACCAGCCAAGUCGCGUGAGGGAGGAAGGCACAGAGGGUUGUAAACCUCUUUUGUCAGGGAACAAAGAGUGGGACGCGUCCCCGGAUGAGUGUACCUGAAGAAAAAGGAUCGGCUAACUCCGUGCCAGCAGCCGCGGUAAUACGGAGGAUCGGAGGGUUAUCCGGUUUUAUUGGGUUUAAGGGGGGCGCGGGCGGUUGUUUAAGUCAUGGGUCAAAGCGUGGGGCUCAACCCCGUCCCGCCGUUGAAACUGGCAGUCUUGAGUUGAAGAGAAGUAUGCGGAAUGCGCGGUGUAGCGGUGAAAUGCAUAGAUAUCGCGCAGAACUCCGAUUGCGAAGGCAGCAUGCCGGCUUCACACUGACGCUGAGGCACGAAAGCGUGGGUAUCGAACAGGAUUAGAUACCCGAGUAGUC
rnacentral:rRNA from 1 species